UACGAAGGGGGCUAGCGUUGUUCGGAAUCACUGGGCGUAAAGCGCACGUAGGCGGAUCUUUAAGUCAGGGGUGAAAUCCCGAGGCUCAACCUCGGAACUGCCUUUGAUACUGAAGAUCUUGAGUUCGGGAGAGGUGAGUGGAACUGCGAGUGUAGAGGUGAAAUUCGUAGAUAUUCGCAAGAACACCAGUGGCGAAGGCGGCUCACUGGCCCGAUACUGACGCUGAGGCACGAAAGCGUGGGGAGCAAACAGGG
rnacentral:rRNA from 1 species